UUCCCCUUUCAUCUGUUUUAUUGAGGCAUCUGCACAUAUCCCCGGAAAGCAGCCUGCUCCAGGCAGAAAUAACAUACUGGGGGCUUGACCAGGUACACACCAUAACUAGAAGAUUCUACUCUCCAGUACUGCUUCUUCGACGUCCUCUACCACCAACUAAAGCUGAGGCUGACACUGGAGUUGCUUGCCUUCACUUGCUUCAAAGACUCUUAUGUUCAAUAGAGUCUGCCUCACUCAGCACUAAAGUGUACCACUAUUCAAGUACAAGUUUUCUUGUUUUGCCUGGUACCUUAUUGCUCUCUGACCCCACCUGAUCUCCCCAUACACUGGAGUGCCUUUAACUCUCUCCAGGAGACUCAAGUUGAGCUUUGUCUGCGGCACCUUCUCUUGGCGCUGGACAGCGGGUGAUUUUGCUUUAGCUUGGGUGACAGUGUGGGAGUAGCGCAACAUCAGAGACACAGCCUUGAGUUUAAAUUAAUGCAGAAUAUUUGAGCAGGAACCAACAGGAAAGAAAAAUGGAAGCAGGUAGUCAUAUUUCAUUCUGUUGGGGUACAUUUUUCUUCUCAUGGGGCUUGCCCUUGAGAACAAAACAUAUCAAAAGUUAAAUCAAAGAAUAUUUUUGUAGUCGUGCUAGGAAUAGAAAAUAAUGCAAAGACUCUGGCUUCUUGAGGCAAAUAUUUUGCUGGAAGGUUAUAAUCAAAGUCAGAAGGAAAUCAUAGCCACAGCUUUCGGUAAAGCUGUAAUCAUUUAAAAUUAAUUGCUUUUAAACUUUUCACUGAGCAUCCCCUUUGUUUUCUAUCAGCAUGUCUCUUGGGUUUUUCUUCGGAAUCAUUCCAUCCAGGUUGGAAUAGG
rnacentral:lncRNA from 1 species